rnacentral:rRNA from 1 species
UACAGAGGGUGCGAGCGUUAAUCGGAAUUACUGGGCGUAAAGCGUGCGUAGACGGUUAUCUAAGUCGGACGUGAAAUCCCUCGGCUCAACCGGGGAACUGCGUCCGAUACUGGCGGGCUUGAAUUCGGGAGAGGGAUGUGGAAUUCCAGGUGUAGCGGUGAAAUGCGUAGAUAUCUGGAGGAACACCGGUGGCGAAGGCGGCAUCCUGGACCGACAUUGACGCUGAGGCGCGAAAGCGUGGGGAGCAAACAGG